UUCUUGGCUUACAAUGACUAAUUAAUUUAUUUGGAUUAUUGAUUAGCAGGGUUGAUAUUACUCAUAAGAAUCUGUCGAGUUCUUACUCGCCUAUUCAAGCUAACUUAAUGACUAUAUGUCUAUGGAAUUAAGAUUAACAAGAAUGCAUUUACACUUGUUGUAUUUUAACCAAGCAAGGAAAUUAGGUAUAUGUCUAUCCUAAUUGCGAAUCCGUUUCCCGAUGCCCAGGUUCAAGAACUUGCUCUAUUUAAUUCUAUAUGCAAUCUAAAAUUCUCAUUUUCGAGUUCAACUCUAGAUUCUAGCUAGCUAGAAUUAAAUAAUUAAGGACAGAAUUAAAUAAAUAACCCAAUAUGAUAAAAUCAAACCCGUCAAUAUAAACUUCAAAUGUCAGCAUUCAUGCAGCACUGAUGACCCCAGAACAAUAGGGUUCUUAGCCACUCAUGUUCAUACAAUCAUCAAAUAUAAUAUUUUCAAACAUAAAAUCAAUGAAUACUAGAAGAAGAAUGGAAGAAUUGAUCAAAUCCGUGCUCCCGAGUGUUUUGUACUUUUAUUCUCCUCUCAAAGUCACGUCCUCUUACUCAAAAUAGGUUUAGGUUAGGCUUUAUAUGAGAUGGGGGCAUCAUGGGAUCGAAAUAAUCGAGUCCUAGUCGAAAUAGGACAUGUUCACAUUUUGAGCAUCCAGGGCAGCCUGGGGAGCUGGCCCUGGCGCUCAACCUUUCAACAGUCUAUUUUGUGCGCCAAAAAAUUAUUGUGGCCAAACCCACACACGCAAGUAUACGCUGUCAUCAAGUAAUAGAGUAGUGAGUAAGAGUAUCAUUCCCACGGAGACUUAUGAUUAACCUUUGACUGAUUCAAACUCAAAUAACUUAUCGAUUCAAGAGACUUCUCACAAAAUGUGUAAGUGACUAAUUUACUGCCUAAGAAACUAUCGAGCAAUGAAAUAACUAGAAAUCAACCACAACACUUAAGCAAUUUUGGUUAACAAUCAGUAGGAGAAGAUAUUCCAGGGUCUUAGGCUAGCUAACAAUCAUGUUGCGUUCUUAACUUACAAUGACUAAUAAAUUUAUCUGGAUUGUUGAUUGACAGGGUUGAUAUUACUCAUAAGAAUCUGUCGAGUUCUUACUCGCCUAUUGAAGCUAACUUAAUGCCUAUAUGACUUUGGAAUUAAGAUUAACAAGAAUGCGUUUACACUUCCUGUAUUUUAACCAAGCAAGGAAAUUAGGUAUAUGUCUAUCCUAAUUGCGAAUCUGUUUACCGAUGCCCGGAUUCAAGAACUUGCUCUAUUUAAUUCUAUAUGCAAUUUAGAAUUCUCAUUUUCGAGUUCAACUCUAGAUUCAUGAAUAGUAUUUCACUAUUAGCUACUCAGCAAAAUAGUUAAGGACAGUAUUAAAUAAAUAACACAAUAUGAUAAAAUCAAACCCGUUAAUUUAAACUUCAAACGUCAGCAUUCAUGUAGCACCUAUGACCCCAGAACAAUAGGGUUCUUAGCCACUCAUGUUCAUACAAUCAUCAAAUAUAAUGUUUUCAAACAUAAAAUCAAUGAAUACUAGAAGAAGAAUGGAAGAAUUGAUCAAAUCUGUGCUUCUGAGUGUUUUGUACUUUUAUUCUCCUCUCAAAGUCAUGCCCUCCUCCUCAAAAUAGGUUUAGGUUAGCUUUUAUAU
rnacentral:lncRNA from 1 species